GAACAAUCAAAGAACAAAGAUUCCAGUGACAGUGAGUAAGAAUCUGAGAAAAUGGCUCCAUACAAAACAAAAUCUUACUAGCUGGUAUAGCCACUGUUCCUUUGACUGGGGCUGGAUAUUUCAGUACGUGAAACAGUGAAAUGUGUGAGAGAGCAUGAGACUCAGAUGCCAACCUGCAGAGGGAGAUUGUUUGUUUGGAAAAGGAAAUGAGAAACACGCUACAUUCCCCUGCAUGUGGACUUGCCCAGCCUUAUUUCUGGCCAGGAAGUUAGAGGGAUGGCCUGACUAAGAGCAGCCUUCAAGCCAGAUACCCUCAAUAGGAGGGAAGCAGCUUCCAUAUUAGCCGUUCCCUUGCUACUCCUACCACACAAUGCCCAGCUGUGGCCUCCAGCAGAAAAAGGUGUGCAUGCCCAUGUGAAACAUCAGUCAUACAAUUCACCAUCACUGCACCUCUGCAUUCAAGACUGGCAGGGUACUUUGCUGACUGACAGGACAUGGUGAAAUACCAGAAAUCUGACAGGUCCAUCUUCCUGACUCGAAAGGGUAUAGCUAUAGCAACCUUCUGAGUAAAUUGGUGUCCUCCAGUGAGCAGAAGCUCCAGCUAAUACUUUUGUAUGUAACCAAACUGGUAUAUCAACAUUUCAGUGCAAACCACAGAUCAUUUAUAUUUUAUUAUAAAGUAUGUGUUUGACCUCAUUUUGGACCAGAUCAGUAGCAUAAGGACACCUCCCCUCAACACAGGCGAUCAGCCAAUCCCUGUGAUCCAUUCACCCUUGCUCCAUUCAUGGAGGAAGAUGCUGAAAAGGAGCUGAGAUGGAAGGACAAUGUUAGUCUCACCCUCCCUGUGCUCCAGCCCACUGGAUAGGGUCAUCAUGCGAAUCUGGUCCAUCUUAAUGGCACACCACAGUCCUGGAUAGUCAGGGUGCCUAGGAGCAGAGCACAGUCCCUCGCAUGCUCCCCCUGGGUUGGUGCAGCCCUACACCGACUGCCUUCAUGCAGGGGUGUGACACAAGUACCACAAUCUGUUGAAGAUUAAAUCAGAUUAUAAAUACUCACCUGGACAGUUUGUUAGCACUCAUCUUUUCAGUGGCAGACCUCUCUGCAUUACAUGUGUGUCCUGUAUGAUGUUGCCCAGGAAUAAUGGUUUACCUGCUGCUGGUUGAGGUCUGAUCUGUGUAUUUUCAAAGAGCUUGCCUGCAUGGCAAAACCCUGACUCCCACAAUAGUCAACAAGCAGUGGCAUGGUCAAGAUCAUGUCAAUAUACAUCUGUGCUGAUCUCAAAAGACCAUGUCUGUGAAAAGAGCAGUUUAAUCUUGU